GUAUUCAAUGUUUCAAGAUUUAAGCCGGCGCUCAACUGAAACCGGUUUUUGGACGGAUUUAAGACGCGGCUCAGAUUCAUUGAAUUCGGACACAGGAAAUUAUUAAUAUACACUAAACUAUUCCAGGGGGAUAAAGAUUUGUGCAAUUUUCAUUUAACACAUUAAAAUUAUUAUUAUUUUUCCUUGCCUAAUUACCAUUUCCCUUUUUGUUGAAAGAGAUAUAUAAAUGUUUUUUUUUAAGAAAAAAGCCAAAUAAACUCACAGAUUUGAUCAAAAUCAAAAAAGAAUUGAAAUUUUUUGGCAGACAUAUUUCACCACAGUUGGAACAGUCGUCUUCCUCGUUCCUCUUCUCAUACUAAUAGUUCUGUACAGUCGCAUCUUGUAUUGCCUGAAAGUUGAGGCAACUCGUCAGUUUCUUAGUUCCAACGCCACACACCAGAAUACAGAGGAAACAGA